GCGCGAAAACUUUACAAUGCUGGCAACAGCGAUAAGGGAACCUCGAGUGCCAGGUUACAAAUCUGGCUGUCGAGAUGCCUAAAAAGCAUUUCAUAGCAAGGGCCGGGCAAGACCGGUGCCAGCCGCCGCGGUAACACCGGCGGCUCGAGUGGUAACUGUUAUUAUUGGGUCUAAAGGGUCUGUAGCCGACCGGAUAAGUCUCUUGAGAAAUCUGGCAGCUUAACUGUCCGGCUUUCAGGAGAUACUGUCUGGCUCGAGGCCGGGAGAGGUGAGAGGUACUUCAGGGGUAGGGGUGAAAUCUUGUAAUCCUUGAAGGACCACCAGUGGCGAAGGCGUCUCACCAGAACGGACCUGACGGCAAGGGACGAAAGCUAGGGGCACGAACCG
rnacentral:rRNA from 1 species